rnacentral:rRNA from 1 species
GACGAACGCUGGCGGCGUGCUUAACACAUGCAAGUCGAGCGGUAAGGCCCUUUCGGGGGUACACGAGCGGCGAACGGGUGAGUAACACGUGGGUGACCUGCCCUCAGCUCUGGGAUAAGCCUGGGAAACUGGGUCUAAUACCGGAUAUGACUCCAUGACGCAUGUUGUGGGGUGGAAAGCCUUGUGCGGCUGAGGAUGGGCCCGCGGCCUAUCAGCUUGUUGGUGGGGUGAUGGCCUACCAAGGCGACGACGGGUAGCCGGCCUGAGGGGCGACCGGCCACACUGGGACUGAGACACGGCCCAGACUCCUACGGGAGGCAGCAGUGGGGAAUCUUGCGCAAUGGGCGAAAGCCUGACGCAGCGACGCCGCGUGAGGGAUGACGGCCU